rnacentral:lncRNA from 1 species
UCACCCAGGAGGAAGAGAUGGGGUGCUUUGUCACUGUAGAUGGAAGUAGAAGUCCAGUUUCCCAGUGGUUUCUGGUAUUGGCUGCAGCUAUACUGGGGUUAAAUACACUGACUUCUGCUGGCUUGCUCUGGCACUAUCCUGGCUGUGAUUUCAGGUCUCGUUUUUGUUGGUUGUUGUUUUUGUUUUUUGUUUUGUUUUGUUUUUGUUUUGUAUUGUGGGUUUUGAGAAUUUCAUAUAUGAAUAGAAUGUGUUUUGAUCAAAUCCGUGCCCCUCAACCCUCCCCUCUGAUUCUUCUCCAAUCCCUACUACCACUACUUUACCCCCAUAUUUCACACGCUUUUAUAAGAUUGAAAUUUAUUCUAUUUUUAUGCAUAUGCAUGUUUUAAUGUCAUGUACAUAUGUGUACCCACUGUCUACUGGUAUCUGUGGAGGCAAGAAGAGGACCUUGGAUGCCUUGGAACUAGACUUACAGGAUGUGUAUUGGGUGUGGCUAUUGGGAACUAAACCGGAGCCCUCUGCAAAAGCAGCCAUUGCUCUUAACGGU